GCAGGCGCGGGGCAGCUCGCGGGCACCCAGCAGCGCGAGCGCCCCGCUCGCCCACAGCACGAGCGCCGCCGCCGCCAUCGACAGGCGCCUGGCCGUCGUCGACAUCCUCUCUCUCUCAGUUAUAACUUUCUUGCCCCUCGACCAACUCUUUCCUCGAAAUCCACCUUCCGGAUCUGAUUUUUCUUCUUGUCCCCCAACCCCACUCUUCUUUCACUCGUUUAUUUCGGUUUCGUUGUGCCGCCGGUGGGAUCCCCUGAAGAGAAGAUUGUCCCUUCCGACCCCAAACAAACAAACAAAAAAUCUUCCAACAACUUUCUCGUCACCCGAAGGCGAAGGAGAAUCUGGAUUGGAUACGUAUGGGUUCCAGGUUUGAUUCCAGGCCUGCGCUGAGCAAACUAAACAUAACCAGGAUAGCUGUAGAUAACAAAGAAUGAAGCUGGAUAAACACAGCAGGCCAAGCAGCAUCUCAGAAGCACAAAAGCUGACGUUUUGGGCCUAGACCCUUCAUCAGAAAGGAUAGCUUGACCCGGAGCGAAGCAGAGACAGUAGGGAUGAGGCAGGGAUGGCAGCCAGCAGGCCCAGAGUAAAGUGGGGACAGCCUGGAGCAGAGCAGGGCUGGUAGCCAGUGG